rnacentral:rRNA from 1 species
CUCGUCACACUAUCAUUAACUGAAUCCAUAGGUUAAUGAGGCGAACCGGGGGAACUGAAACAUCUAAGUACUCCGAGGAAAAGAAAUCAACCGAGAUUCCCCCAGUAGCGGCGAGCGAACGGGGAGGAGCCCAGAGCCUGAAUCAGCAUGUGUGUUAGUGGAAGCGUCUGGAAAGGCGCGCGAUACAGGGUGACAGCCCCGUACACAAAAGCGCAUGUGCUGUGAGCUCGAUGAGUAGGGCGGGACACGUGGUAUCCUGUCUGAAUAUGGGGGGACCAUCCUCCAAGGCUAAAUACUCCUGACUGACCGAUAGUGAACCAGUACCGUGAGGGAAAGGCGAAAAGAACCCCGGCGAGGGGAGUGAAAAAGAACCUGAAACCGUGU